GGCUGGGUAGCUCAGUUGGCCUAGAGCAGUCGACUCAUAACCGACCGGUCGGCGGUUCGAAUCCGCCCCCAGCCACCA
rnacentral:tRNA from 1 species